AUGCUUACAAAAAUUUAAAAAAUUGAUUUCUUUCUAAUGCUUCGUAUACCAAUGAGUUAAAAUUUGCAAAUUUUGCUCUUUUCAUCAUCAAUAAGGAUAGAGGAAGAGUCAUAAAUACAAUGGACCUCGUUUAUAACGUCUAAUUUCAUAGUUAGAAGCUAUGACCGUUCUGUUAAUGUGCGAGAAAAUAGGAAAGGCAAGAGACAUGUUAAUCCUGGGCAAAUGGAAGAGUGAAUAAACUGUCAAAUACAUCUUAAAUUCAUUGUAUAUAUCUAAAUCCAAAAAUUAUUGUAUUUUAUAUAAUGAUUGUAUCAAUAAUAUUGUAGCAAGUAAA
rnacentral:lncRNA from 1 species